rnacentral:rRNA from 1 species
AUACGUAGGUGACAAGCGUUAUCCGGAUUUACUGGGCGUAAAGGGCGUGUAGGCGGUCUUGCAAGUCAGAAGUGAAAUUCCUGAGCUCAACUCGGGCGCUGCUUCUGAAACUGCAGGACUUGAGUGCUGGAGGGGAUAGCGGAAUUCCUAGUGGAGCGGUAAAAUGCGCAGAUAUUAGGAGGAACACCAGUGGCGAAGGCGGCCUGCUGGACGACAACUGACGCUGAGGCGCGAAAGCGUGGGGAGCAAACAGGAUUAGAUACCCUGGUAGUCCACGCUGUAAACGAUGAAUACUAGGUGUGGGGGGACUGACCCCCUCCGUGCCGCAGUUAACACAAUAAGUAUUCCACCUGGGGAGUACGAUCGCAAGAUUGAAACUCAAAUGAAUUGACGGGG